rnacentral:tRNA from 1 species
GAGACGUUAGUAAACCAAUUACAUGGCCCUGUCAGAGCCAAAUCACAGGUGAAANNNCCCUGUACAUCUCC